rnacentral:rRNA from 1 species
AGCGAACGCUGGCGGCAGGCUUAACACAUGCAAGUCGAGCGGGCAUCUUCGGAUGUCAGCGGCAGACGGGUGCGUAACACGUGGGAACGUACCCUUCGGUUCGGAACAACUCUGGGAAACUGGAGCUAAUACCGGAUACGCCCUUAUGGGGAAAGGUUUACUGCCGAAGGAUCGGCCCGCGUCUGAUUAGCUAGUUGGUGGGGUAACGGCCUACCAAGGCGACGAUCAGUAGCUGGUCUGAGAGGAUGAUCAGCCACACUGGGACUGAGACACGGCCCAGAAUACUACGGGAGGCAGCAGUGGGGAAUAGUGGACAAUGGGCGCAAGACUGAUCCAGCCAUGACGCGUGAGUGAUGAAGGCCUUAGGGUUGUAAAGCUCUUUUGUCCGGGACGAUAAUGACGGUACCGGAAGAAUAAGCCCCGGCUAACUUCGUG